rnacentral:lncRNA from 1 species
UCCAACUUAAACCAUACAUACUUCACACACAUCAUAUACUGAAAAUCAAAAACACACAAAAUUGAGUAUCAAUACUUGCAAUCAAAAAUCUACAAAAUUGAGUGUCGAGCACAUACACCCCAUAAUUGUUUCCAAAUAUGAAGCUUCAAAAUAAGAAGAAGAUCAUGAUUAUGAUGUUUUCUUUUUGGACGAUGGAGGCAAUUGGAAGAGAGGUCCUGAUCUUGAGAAGGGUAGAGAGUGUAAGUGAGGAACAAGAAAGAAGAAGAAGCUGUGGGUGAAGUCACUACUACCAUUGCCUGUUUCCCAGGAAAGAAGUCUGGCUACUAGAAAUCUUCAUGAUCGAAUUUCCUUAUUUUCUUGUUGAUUUGUCUUUAAGCCUGAAAUGGAAUUUGUGUCCUUGUGAUUGUGAAUCCUCCACCCUUUUCUCUUCCUUUUGUGCAGCUCGUUCCCGGAGUUGGGCUUGGACUUUUCUGAAAAUUUCAACGAUUUCUCUUUCCCUUGGUCCAGGAUUUGCAGUGGAACGAGAUUUGGGGGAAGGAGAUGAAGAGUUGGAAAGGAAUGAGGGUCCGUUUUUUUGAAGUGAAUGGUUCAGAAUCUUCUAAUCCAUCGAUUCCAUCUCGGUCUUCAGGAUUCCUGUUCUUGUUUCUUGAAUACCCUUGUCGAUUUUGUCUUGAAAAGUUUGAGUUUCUUCUUGAACAACGAUUUUGUGUUCAGAAAGCACUACUUUGACAUCAAGAAGCUUACUGGGGACGCCAUGAGAGACGAAAUGAGACGCCGACAAAAUUGUUGGUUUUUUCUGGGUUUUUAUUGAAUCCAAAUAGGUUGCCGACAAAAUUGUUGAAUUGUUUAUGGGUGCCAAUAAUAGAGGUCGGUGAAACAUUUUUAGGGAAUAAUCCACCAUUGAAGAACCUUGAACCUUGGAGAGCUAAGAAAAUAUUAAAUGGAUCGGGUUCGGUUAUGGUGUGUAGAGGUGAAAGAGACGAAGCUUGGUGAUUGUUUUGUUACAGUUCUGGAUUUGUUCCUUAGCAUCACUAUUAUAAUUUCAUGUAUAAACGUUUACUUGUUCUUUAUACAUGUAUAUACUUGACUAAAUUAAUAAAAUCAAGGUUUACAAAAAAG